GAUUGAACGCUGGCGGCAUGCCUAACACAUGCAAGUCGAACGGGAGUAGCAAUACUCUAGUGGCGGACGGGUGAGGAAUACGUAGGAAUUUGCCCUUAAGUGGGGGAGUAACCCGGGGAAACCCGGAUUAAUACCGCAUGACCUCGAAAGAG
rnacentral:rRNA from 1 species